GGAUAAGUUGGUCAGGAUCAGGUCCAGAGACCUCCCUCAUGAAUGGAGAUGGUCAGUCUAUUAAACCAAGUUAGGAAUGAAGACCAAGCUCUUCCACAGAACACUUGGCUAAUUUCAGCAGUUUGCUGCCCUCUACUGGAAAAGGGUGGUCCUCCAAACAAAUAUCUAAGCAGGAAAUUGACAGCAAGGACAACUGCAACUAUGGUGGCAAUAUGCAGACUCAAUCGCUGUAGAAUGGAAUGGACCUUAUUGAGAAAAACAAGCAUGACAGCUGCCUGGCUUCAACUCCGCAGAACAGGAAUAUAGUUGGCAUCUGGCAAAACAAUGAAAAUGACAACACUGAAAGAGC